UAAUCUGCCCCCAUUAGAACCCAAACCUUAUCAAAAUGAAGACUGAUUGAAGUUGAGCCUUCAAUUUUAUUCCAUAACAUCCAAUACAUGCAAAGUCAAGUUUUCAAAUUAGGAUCAUAGCGUUCUUGGCCUGCAGAAUGUAUUCUCUACUAUACAUUCUUAGUUACUACUCUUAGAAUAUGCUCACUGCCUGGGACUUCUAGCUACUACUGCCAUGAACACACAGGGCAUGUUAGAGAUGACAGGUACAAAGACAUGGCAGGCAUGUCGGAACAUUUUAUAAAUUCCCACAGGAAGAACUGUAUGUGAAGCAGGAAAAGCUGAAUGUUGAGUUCCAGUUCUGCUUACUUGCAAAGUCAUCUAACCUAUGAGUUUCAGAAAGGUGAGAUGUAAGGAGAAGAUAUUCCAAAUAAAAUGAACAAAGGAAAGAAGAUAAGAUUAGUAUGUACAAAGAAAGCUGAAGAACUCAGUUCAGUUAAAG